AUGUACAGGUGCAACGGAGAGAGCGGACGACACAUCCCAACAGCGCUCUUCUCAUACCAGGAGGAAUGGAGGUGGCAGACAAUGCGUCUAGAGAAGAAGGUCGUGGAUGAAGCGAAGCUCGUCUUCUACCAAGUGCAAUGGAGGCGGUGGAUGGCGCGCCCAACGGAGAUGACUCGGGAGCAGCCUGAGCUCGCCAACAACAUAGCCCAGCCUCUAGCUCCUUUGGAGGUCUACCAUGUCAGCGGCGUACAGGACCACGACGAACAGGUUCAUGGUGAACGGGACACCGGCGUACAGGUUUUACACCAUGCUUCUAGGAGGAGACGGCGUGGCGGAACCGAAGCUCGCAACGACGUAGCCCAAGUCAAGUCCAUGGCGAAUAGGUCUCUCGGGUGCACAAGUCUAUGGCGUCCCAAUCGCGGUGGGGCGCUUUGGUUUCCAGUGGAGACGACGUGGUCGAACCGGAGCUCGCUACGAUGUAGCCCGAGACAAGUCCAUUGUGAGCAUGUCUCUCUGAUGCACAGGUCCAUGGCGCUCCGACCGCGGUGUACAGAUCUGGCGCUUUGGUUUCCGGUGGAGACGACGCGGUCGAACCGGAGCUCGCGACGACGUAGCCCGCGACAAGUCCAUGGCGAACAGGUCUCUCCGGUGCACAGGUCCUCGGCGAACAGGUCAUCGGUGCACAGGUCCAUGGCGCCCCGAACAGGUCAUGUGCGUUGCUUCCCGGAGGAGACGACAUGGCGGAGCCGGAGCUCGCAACGACGUAGCCUGAGACAAGUCCAUGAUGAACAGGUCUCUCCGGUGCAGAGGUCUACGACGUUUCGAUCAUGGUGCACAAGUCUGGUGUCUUGCUUCCCGAAGGAGACGACGUGGCGGAACCGGUGCUCACGACGAUGCAGCCCGAGACCAGUCUCACCUAUGAAAGUGCACCCACCAUGGGGAACAGGUCCUUGGCGUACAGGUCUCGGCGUGCUACUUGUCUCGGUAAACCACCGAAUACGGCGUUUAGUCGAGACGAGGCACCCACCAUGGCGGACAGGUCCUCGACAUAUAGGUCUCGAUGUACAGGUCCAUGGCGUCCCCGGCAUACGGGUCCCCUUUCGGUGUAGCACCCACCCAAGGCAAUAA
rnacentral:rRNA from 1 species